CGCGGCAAAUCAAGCCGGGAGCUGGGGCCUGGGCAGUUCAUUAUCCUGCUGGGUUCCCCGCUCAGGCAGUUCACGCGCGCAGGCCGCCCUCUGGAAGAACUGCAGCUGGAAUGAGCAAUUCCCCUGAGAAAGCGAAGACACAGGCUCACAAGGGAGAAUUCUGGGCAGAAACGGAGACGGAGAUUGGAGUGAAGCGUCCACAAGCCAAGGAGUGCCAAAGAUUGCCAGCAACCCCCAGACGCUGGAGGAGGCAGGGAAGGAACCUCCCCAGGAGCCGUUGGAGGGAGCAGGGCCCUGCUGACACCUCGAUGUCAGACGCCUGGCCUCCAGGACGGAGAGGAAGCAGGAGGCCCUGAGCCGGGAUCAGCCUCCAGCUCAGCUCCCAGGAAAAUGGGUGCCCCUCGCCUCACCCCCACCCUUGGGCCCACCCUGGCUGAGGCUCAGACCACCACAUGCGCGGCUCUCCUUGGUACCAUGCCGACCGGAGGCCAGAAUUUGGGCUGUUUUGAGCGAACACAGGACCACGGAGCUAGAGCAGCACCCGAGGAGCUACGUGUCCCCAUCCAGGGCCACAGUCCCCAUUGCCCCAUUCAUUCAGUUGCUGCUGCCUGCCAGACACUCACAUGGAGCCUCUGAACGUGGCGUGCCCCGCGUCCCACUGACAGCGCUGUGCGUGCUCCUGUAUGUGGAAACCAGGGCA